UUCCUGGAUGAAAGUGGGAAGCUUGCCUGUUGAAGGAUGAGCCACUCAUAUUGAAAUGUACUUUUCUGGAGGAAAAAAAAUUUCAGAAAAUCUCCUUGGAAUAUCUGAAGUCCAUAUGGCUAUGUAUGAUGAAGAUAUCUUGAAAAAUCCCUUUUAUUUGGCCAUUCAGAAGCGGCGUCCUGAUCUAUGCAGCAAAGUUGCAGAACUCCAUGGUAUUGUGUUAGUUCCAUGCAAAGGAAGCCUUUCAAGCAACAGUCUUUCUACUUGCCAGUUUGAAUCUUAUGUUCUGAAGCCACUGGAAGAAAAUUUCCAAACCUUAAAUGGAAAGGAGAUCUUCAUACAAGGAAACAUCAUCAUUUUAGGAACUGGUUUUAAUUAUCAUCUCUCAGUACCUGUUCUUUUUGAGGAAACAUUUUACAAUGAAAAAGAAGAAAGCUUUAGUAUAUUGUGCAUAGCUCAUCCAUUGGAAAAAACAGAAAGCUCAAGUCAAUCUACAGCUUCAUCAAACUCCUAUUCUCUUAAAAAUAUUGAAGAUGUUAGAGAAUUCUUGGGAAGGCACUGCGAGAGAUUUGAUAAAUACAUAGGAUCUUUCUAUAGAACAUUUAAAGAACAUGAAAGGAAGAGCCUCCGCCACUACAUAGAUUCUGUCAAUGCACUUUAUACCAAAUGUCUCCAGCAUCUUUUGAGAGAUUCGCACUUGAAGAUGCUUGCAAAGCAAGAAGAGCAGAUGAAUCUGAUUAAGCAAGCCGUUGAAAUGUAUAUCCACCAUGCUAUUUAUGAUCUAGUCUUCAAAUAUGUGGGGACCAUUGAGGCAAGUGAGGAUGCUGCUUUUAACAAAAUCACAAGGAGCCUUCAAGACCUGCAGCAAAAAGACAUUGGAGUGAAGCCUGAGUUCAGUUUUAAUAUACCACGUGCAAAGCGAGAACUGGGUCAGUUGAACAAAUGUACUUCCCCUCAACAGAAGCUACUUUGUCUACGAAAAGUGGUACAAAUUAUUAUGCAAUCUCCUAGCCAAAGAGUUAACAUGGAAACCAUGUGUGCAGAUGAUCUUCUCUCUGUUUUGCUGUAUUUACUUGUAAAAACAGAAGUCCCAAACUGGAUGGCCAACUUGAGUUACAUAAAGAACUUCAGGCUUUGCAGUUCAGUGAAGGAUGAAUUGGGAUACUGUCUAACCUCAAUUGAGGCUGCAAUAGAAUACAUACGACAAGGCAACCUCUCUGACAGAUCAACAGAAUCUGAGAGACUGUGUGACAAGCUGCUUUUAAGACAAAGGAUGAACUUGUUGUCCCAGAUGUCUGCUACUCCAAUAGACUGCUUAUUUAAGCAUAUUGCUUCAGGUAAUCAGGAAGAAGUGGAGCGAUUACUAAGUCAAGGUGACAGUGAUAAAGACACUGUACAGAAAAUGUGUCAUCCGCUCUGUUACUGUGACAAAUGUGAGAAGCUAGUUUCUGGGAAACUGAAUGAUCCUUCCAUUAUCACUCCAUUUUCCCGAGAUGACCGGGGAUAUACACCACUUCAUAUAGCUGCUAUUUGUGGGCAAACAUCACUAGUGGAUUUACUAGUAGCCAAAGGAGCCAUCGUCAAUGCUACAGAUUAUCACGGUUCAACUCCACUUCAUCUUGCCUGUCAGAAAGGAUAUCAAAAUGUUACACUUCUCUUAUUGCACUAUAAGGCAAGUACUGAUGUUCAGGACAAUAAUGGAAAUACUCCACUUCAUUUAGCCUGCACUUAUGGUCAUGAGGAUUGCGUCAAAGCUUUAGUCUACUAUGAUGUGCAUUCCUGUAGACUAGAUAUUGGUAAUGAAAAGGGAGAUACUCCUCUCCAUAUAGCUGCUCGUUGGGGCUAUCAAGGGAUCAUAGAAGUGCUUUUGCAAAAUGGGGCAAAUCCAGAAAUUCAAAACCGGAUGAAGGAGACUUCCCUACAGUGUGCAUUAAAUUCCAAGAUUUUGUCAUUGAUGGAAUUAAACUAUCUAACGUUUGAGAGAGGACAGAGUGCUUCUGAGUCAUCACUUAGGUCUCCUCAGCACUCAACAGAAACUUUCAGCAGAGGAUCAUCUAUCUCAAGCCUGUCAUCAGCAUCAACUGAUAUAAGGCAAGAAGAAGUAAAAAAUAGUUAUAAAGAGGUGGAAAAACUCCUAAGAGCAGUUGCUGAUGGAGAUCUGGAAAUGGUACGUUAUCUCUUGGAAUGGAUGGAAGAAGACUUAGAAGAUGAGGAUGACACAGCCAGUACAUCAAAACCAGAAUUCUGCCAUCCAUUAUGCCAGUGCCCAAAAUGUGGGCCAGCACAAAAGAAAUUUGCAAGGAUCUCUGCUAAUGGACUUGGAGUAAAUGUUUCAAACCAAGAUGGUUUUACACCAUUGCAUAUGGCUGCACUGCAUGGACACUCUGAACUUGUCUGUCUCUUGUUGAAACAUGGGGCCAGUAUCAGUGCCAAGAAUGCAAAACAUGCAGUUCCUCUUCAUCUAGCCUGCCAGAAAGGUCACUUCCAGGUGGUAAAGUGUCUGAUGGAUUACAAUGCUAAACAAAAUAAAAAGGAUAUAUAUGGAAAUACUCCUUUAAUUUAUGCAUGCUUGAAUGGUCAGUAUGAGACUACUGCCUUGUUGUUACAGCAUGGAGCUUCUGUUAACAUUUCUAAUGCCAAAGGAAAUACAGCACUGCACGAGGCCGUGAUAGGAAAGAAUGAAGCCCUGGUAGACUUGCUACUACAGAAUGGUGCAAUGACGCACAUAAGGAAUGAAAGGAACUGUACCCCUGCAGACUGUGCUGAGCCGAAUUCAAAUAUCAUUAAGUUGCUGGAAACAGCACCAAGCUGUGUAGCUACAUCAGCAGAGAGAGAAAAGGAGUCUGAGCAGCAUGCUACUAUCAAGUUAAGAAAAAAAGUGAAUUCUAAGCCAUGUGAGAAAGCCGAUGAUCCCAUAAGCAGACAACUUCAGCUGGUCCAAUCAAUUAACAGAUUUAACAAAGCAAAACAUUUACGGAGAACAAUAACAAGAGAUAAAAGUGUCCCUAAUUUUGACUAUCAGUUAUUGCAUCAGUUAGCUAUUAAAAGCUUUGAUAAAACCAAGUUAAAAUCUGUUGAAAAGCUGGACCGGAGCAAAGUUAAGAUUAUUGACACAGGAUGCAGUGGCGAGUUUGUGAAACAUGAUGACAUGAUAGAAGUCCCUCACAGGAGUAAAUUAAUGCACCGAAGACACACUGUUAAUGUGCCACUUUCAGCAGAGAAUGUCAGCGAUAAUAGUUUAUCCAGCCCUAGAAAUCCAAGUAUUUCACAAUCAAGAGACUGCUGUGAUGACGCGCUUUCAAAACAUUGACAAGAAAGUGUGAAUUUGAUGUCAAAAGCUGAGGAAUUAGGUGGUGUUAAUUUCAGUAACCUUUCACUGUAUAUCAAAGAAUUCAGUGACGCUUGCAAGCCUGCCUGCAGAACAGAAUACAAGGAUGACUCUUCAGCAGAAACAGAAUGUUCCUAGCACUUUCAAAGACUGAAUCCUCUGUUGAUGUUGGAGGCAUUUGAAGACUUCACCUUGUGUCUCUGUGUAACCUGAGGGAUCUGUUGGAAUUUACUCUGAAGUUCAGUAUGACCUUCUUUCCUCCUACAUUCGUGGAUUACUAUUGUUAGGUUGUGUGGUUUUGGAUUUAAGGCAUAGAGGUGUACAAUACAGAACUGUUAGUGAAAGCAAACGUUUUCAUGUAACUUCUUCUCUAGUUCUACAUUCCCAUUUAAAAAAAAAAAAGUAGGAUGGAUGUUAAGCUAUUAGGAGCCAAAGACCAAGAGGAGAGACAUAUGAACUAGUUUUUUUUCCUUCUUGUGACACUAUGAGGAUGACCUAGAGUAAGUAAGUCACUUAUCCUUACCUGUAGCAAAAAUAACCUAGAUAUUACUUAUAAAGCUUAAGAUACAAGUAAACUUUCAUAGAUCUGAUUUCCAAACUACAUAGUGAGAAUUUUGCUUGUGUUUUAAUUAUACUAUGCAUUUAACUAAAUGAUUCUUGUCUUAAGACUUCUUGACAAUAUAGAUGAGAAAAAUCAGUUUAUUAGCUUUUUAAUACUGGUGAUACUAUGCUACAGAAUGUAAGUACAGAAUAUACUGCUGUAACUACAGAACAUGAAUUAGCACAAUGACACUAUGUUCAGUAUCAAGUCUUUUUUCUUAAUCCUUAAUAAUAAGCACAGUGUGGUUGAAUAGCUUUGGAAACAAGUUUUAAGAUAGCUUAUUAAAUAAUUUUGAAAAUGGUUAGAGAUAAGCAUCAGAGGAUGUGAACUCCUUUAGAUACUUGCUUCUUUUCUAUUAAAGACAGAUUUUGAAUACAACAGGUUAUGGAAAACAACUUGUUCAACACUAUUUUCUAUGCAAGCAGUGACCCAGCUGCAACACUCCCAGGUUUCAGCCUUGAUAUGAAUUGUUAUAUAAUUAUUGGUCCAUUUUACUCAAAGAAUUAGCCAAGUGUUAAAGUAGCGCUUGCCUUUGGAACAACUUCUCUCCCUGCAAUGAAAUAUAAAAUUUGCAAGGAAAAAAAACAUAGUAGCUUACUAAGGCAACUUGGUGCAUAUUGCCUACUGUAUUUUUUAACAAAAUCUGUAUUUUAAGACAUCUAACAGGAGAAUAUUUUUUUUCUUUAGAGUUUUAUAGAAAAAGUAUACAUUUACUAGAAUUCACCUGAGUUUUCUAUUCUAUUACAGUAUCAGAACAGUUGUCCUUGUGAACCUGAGGCUACUUAAGUGACCAAGCCAUGCUUCAGUUUUAUUCAGUGUUCAGUCUAGGAUAAAGCUUAUUUCCAGGCAUUUUGGAUGUAUAGUGUGUGUAUUAAAAAAAAAACAACAAAACAAACACCAAAAAGCAAAACACUUGAAUCCAAACAGUUUCAUUAUAAUCUAAAUGAUGGAAAGAUGAUAACUAGCAAAUUAUUUAGGUAAAUGUAAUAGUUUGCAAGUUUCCUUUGACUUGCUUAACCAAGCUUGUAAUUAAAAAAUACCUUAAUAUUCAAAGAUACAAUGAUCAAAGGCUAAACUGGAAUAGGAUUUGAAGGGAGGUGCCCCUGGAAGCUUCCCCUAGCAAUCUGUAGUGCAAAUACACUGAAGUCAACUUCAUGAUGCUUACUUAUGAUUUGUCUGCAAAGCGUGUUACUGUAUGGUCCAGUUUAAUCUCCAAAAGGUUGUUAAGUUAAAAUAAAUCCAAAGUAUAACUUCACAUUUUGAUAACUGAGAUUCUGGAACAGCUGCUUUAGAAGAACAGCAAGGCAAUAAAGCUUACGUUGUUAGAAGUAGAAUUUGAUAAACUUAGGAAUGGGAAUAUGAAGCAUGGAUGCUUAGGAUGUAUCUGUAGCCCUACUGAGAAAACUUUUAAACCAUGUCACCACACCUUGACUUGAACCCCUUCACACUGGUAAAGGGUCAUUAGUCUAAAAAAAUGUAGCAUACACCCACAAUAUUACUGAAGUUAAGGAAUCCUAGUUACAAACACAGACAAGCAAAAUGCCCAGUCUAGUUCAAAUGAAACAAAAAUAACUGUUUAAAUACUUUUUAACCACAUUCACACAAGAUGAAAAACACCCACUAGAGCUCACUUUAAACAAUUUUAUUGUUUCAAAAACCACUGCAGUUGGGAAUCAUAUAUGUUCCUGUUAAAUUAUGUCAGAAAAGGGUUUUGUGGUGGUAGAGUGUUUAUAUCAGCACGUUACAGUAUUUAUCGUACUUAUUUCCAUAACCAUAUUUUUGAAUAAACGUAUAGCACAAGUUCAGUUUUACUUUAUGCAUGCAGGAGUUGCAGAAAGUGUAGGAAAAUGGUCUUUUUUUCAAGGUAAGAAACACUCCAGCCAUUUGAUAAGAAAUGGAGGUAGUUUUAAGAAUAUAAGAUACCAAGUGUCUGAACAGUGCUAUAUUACACAAUUAACUUGCUUUUUUUGAGAUAGCUUGAUUAUUUCAUAGGGGAAUGGUUCAACUGUAGGCUGGUUACAAUUUCUUUACAUGGACUGCCUGAUACGAAGUCCUCUGAUCCAAAUGCUACUUUGAUACCUUCACUUUAUUUUAUAAAUUUCCAGCAAGGACUUGAGAGCCAGUGAGCUGCUGGAUAGGCUUCCUUCAGGGCUCAGGAAAUCUUGUUUCUAACACUUCUGUGAUUUAAAGCCUGGAGGUAAGUUUUUAAACUCCUAGAGUUGCUGUUCACAGCUUUACACUUAGCUCCUCCUCAUGUUAUGGUAUCUCCAAUAGCAGCAAGUUAAGUGUGUGCAGCUGCUGAAAGCAUAGCUUACACACUGAGUAAGGGGCAACAAAAUGUUC